AAAUAACUUUUUUUUAAUAUAAAGACUUUUGUAAUAGCAAGUGAUCAGGUGGGCAUUAGGAAGGCAGGUCUACUGAAAGGUGUGGUUAAGUGGAGCAUGUAAAAGGAAAGGAGAUUAGACAGUGUGUGUACGUAACUGACUGCAUAAUAGAACAAGAAAAAUAGACAGAAAGUCGUGGACACAGCAAGAAGAAACAACAUUAAAAACAACAACACUAUGGACUUUGGAUUUUUCACAGAUGACAGGUUGUUUGAUUUUUUCUGCCGAAAUAAGACAAAGAUGUCUACAAUAGAAGAGCCGCUGAUGUUUCUCCGACAUCUCAAGGACAAUAGACUCAUUACAUAUGAGCUCUAUCAAAGGCUUGAGGACACUGGUGACGAUAAUGGUGUGUAUUGUGCCUUGGAUUAUAUUGAAAAGCAUGGAAAGAAGAAUGUUAGAAAGUUCUGGCAAUGUGUGGACCAGGAGCAUAUUUUACAGCGUUACUCUCAACUCUCUAAAGUCACUGAAGCCCUGAAGAACUCUCUUAUGAGUCAGCCAAACAGAAACAUUAGAAAAAGAGCUGAGGAUCGAGGCACAGGAAAAGAAAGAGAGAUUAAAAAGAGGAGGACAGAGAGCAACUCUGUGAAUGACCAAGCUGGACCAUCAUCGCAAAGCACUAACAGCCAGAAGACGACAGAUAAACACGUGAAGAGAGAACUUCAGAGCCCUCCAGACUCCAGUACACAAGAGUCGUUUUUCUGUCCGUCCUUGCAUAGAAAAGCAGAGGAUCUCUGGAACAUGCCUAAACACGCGAGAUGGCUUCCUGUCACAUGUGGGAACGAAAAGGCCUUAUUGGACAGAGAAGCAUUGAAUAAUAGAAAGAGGGACUGCAUAAAAUGUGGAAGAGCAAUGAUCUCCCCUUAUAUAUUUGAGAAAAUGGGUGGAAAAGAAUCAUGCAAGUCCUGGAAAACAAGUAUAUUAUGCCAAGGCACAACCCUCAAGAGUCUCAUGGAGAUGAAUAUUUUGAAGAUACCUGAACUUGAUGGAAAGUUUACCCUUCGCAAAUGAUGUGCCAUGCAUUAUUUAUUUAGCAUUUUCAGUCACUUAAUUAAAUUAUAAAAAUGUGAAAGUAAAAUAAACCAUUUAAAAACAAUAUCAAUCAAAAUAAAACACUUACUAU
ensembl:lncRNA uncharacterized LOC107695125